UACGUAGGCAGCAAGCGUUGUUCGGAGUUACUGGGCGUAAAGGGUGCGUAGGCGGUCCUAUAAGUAUGGUGUGAAAUCUCCCGGCUUAACUGGGAGGUGCGCUAUAGACUGUGGGACUAGAGUGUGGGAGAGGAAAGUGGAAUUCCUGGUGUAGCGGUGAAAUGCGCAGAUAUCAGGAGGAACACCGGUGGCGAAGGCGGAUCUCUGGGCCAUUACUGACGCUGAGGAGCGAAAGCGUGGGGAGCGAACAGG
rnacentral:rRNA from 1 species